rnacentral:rRNA from 1 species
AUGUCGUGGACGAGGCGAGGUCGAGGACAGUCGCGGGUUGAGGGUGCUGCAGGUGGGAGCGGCUGGAGAUGGUGGUGGCGCCACACGGCUCGGAGGAAGCAGGGGCGGUGGAGCUCGCGCAUCGGGCGGCGUCACUGGACGAGGAGGAGGCUGCGUCCUCGUGAUUUCUGGCGGCAGGGCAUGGCUCACCGGUGA